UACGUAGGGGCAAGCGUUGUCCGGAAUCAUUGGGCGUAAAGAGCGUUGUGAGGCGGCCCGAUAAGUCCGCUGUGAAAGUCCAGGGCUCAAACCCUGGAAGUGCCGGUGGAUACUGUCGGGCUCGAAUCCGGAAGAGGUGAGUGGAAUUCCUGGUGUAGCGGUGAAAUGCGCAGAUAUCAGGAGGAACACCAAUGGCGAAGGCAGCUCACUGGGACGGUAUUGACGCUGAGACGCGAAAGCGUGGGGAGCAAACAGG
rnacentral:rRNA from 1 species